UACGGGGGGGGCAAGCGUUGUUCGGAAUUACUGGGCGUAAAGGGCUCGUAGGCGGCCAACUAAGUCAGACGUGAAAUCCCUCGGCUUAACCGGGGAACUGCGUCUGAUACUGGAUGGCUUGAGUUUGGGAGAGGGAUGCGGAAUUCCAGGUGUAGCGGUGAAAUGCGUAGAUAUCUGGAGGAACACUGGUGGCGAAGGCGGCAUCCUGGACCAACACUGACGCUGAGUGAGCGAAAGCCAGGGGAGCAAACGGG
rnacentral:rRNA from 1 species